UCCGGACCACGCCGCGGAGGUGGAUGGGGCGGAGGGAGUUGGUCCCCUCGGCCCGCCCCGCAGGUGGAGGGCUCCGGGGAGGCCUGGAGCCCCUGGCCGCUGAGUAACGGGAUGUAAAGAAAGGGAGAAGAGGCAGGCUCUCCCCACCCCCACCCCAACCCCAACCAAGUCACUGCAGGGUGUGGGGCUCAGACCAGGGGUGCUUGGCAGGCCGGCCCAGCUGAGGUAGGCCAAGGUGAAGGCCAGGGAAGAGGGCACGAGGCUUCCCCGCGGGGCUGCUUCACGUGGUGGCCACAGACCCGCAGACCGGCCAAAACCCAGCUCUGUCCCAGAGUUGGGUCAGCUACCCGGGCGACAGGAGGACUCAGCCUCUGGUCCCAGGCUGCGACAGGAGGGGGCUUUGGGGUUUUCUGUUUGUUUGGUUUGUUUUUCUUUAGGGGGAAAGACAGUCGGCAUGAACUGCCCUGCAGUGCCCAGGUCCCUCUAAACAGCAGCUGCAUCCAGUCCGCUCAUCCCCAGCAGGCCUGGCCCUUCGGAGAGAAGAUGGGACCAGAUGAGCUGACCGUCUUGUGGGCCAGCCGAAGCCUGGGGACUGGCUGUGUCACCAGAGGUGUCAUUUCCCAGCCGUCUGGAGAAGGUGAGUGAACUGGGAGCUCGUGGUGGG